rnacentral:rRNA from 1 species
CCUACGGGAGGCAGCAGUGAGGAAUAUUGGUCAAUGGGCGCGAGCCUGAACCAGCCAAGUCGCGUGAGGGAAGACGGUCCUAUGGAUUGUAAACCUCUUUUGUCGGGGAGCAAAAGACGCCACGCGUGGCGUUCCGAGAGUACCCGAAGAAAAAGCAUCGGCUAAAUCCGUGCCAGCAGCCGCGGUAAUAAGGAGGAUGCGAGCGUUAUCCGGAGUUCUUGGGUUUAAAGGGGGCGCAGGCGGAAGAUCAAGUCAGCGGUAAAAUUGAGAGGCUCAACCUCUUCGAGCCGUUGAAACUGGUGUUGUUGAGUGAGUGAGAAGUAUGCGGAAUGCGUGGUGUAGCGGUGAAAUGCAUAGAUAUCACGCAGAACUCCGAUUGCGAAGGCAGCAUACCGGCGCUCAACUGACGCUCAUGCACGAAAGUGUGGGUAUCGAACAGGAUUAGAUACCCGGGUAGUC